CUGGUGUCCCAGGUCUAAAUCAGUCCCUUAUUAGAGGGGAACAGUGACUGGUGUCCCAGGUCUAAAUCAGUCCCUUAUUAGAGGGGAACAAUGGCUGGUGUCCCAGGUCUAAAUCAGUCCCUUAUUAGAGGGGAACAAUGGCUGGUGUCCCAGGUCUAAAUCAGCCUCUGAUUAGAGGGGAACAGUGACUGGUG